AUUGAACGCUGGCGGUAUGCUUAACACAUGCAAGUCGAACGGUAGCAGGCCUUCGGGCGCUGACGAGUGGCGGACGGGUGAGUAACGCGUAGGAAUCUGCCUCAUAGUGGGGGACAACGUGUGGAAACGCACGCUAAUACCGCAUACGCCCUACGGGGGAAAGCGGGGGAUCGUAAGACCUCGCGCUAUGAGAUGAGCCUGCGUUGGAUUAGCUAGUUGGUAGGGUGAAGGCCUACCAAGGCGACGAUCUAUGGGUGGUCUGAGAGGACGAUCGGCCACACUGAGGCGGAGACCCGGCCAGGACUCGUACGCGAGGCGGGAGAGGGGAAUAUUGGACAAUGGGCGGAAGCCUGGUCCAGCAAUGCGGCGUGUGUGAAGAAGGCCUGAGGGUUGUAAAGCACGUUCAAUGGGAAGGAAAAAAGUCGGGUUAAUACCCCGAUUCUUGACAUUACCUAUAGAAGAAGCACCGGCUAACUCCGUGCCAGCCGCCGCAGUAACAC
rnacentral:rRNA from 1 species